GAUGAACGCUGGCGGCGUGCCUAAUACAUGCAAGUCGAGCGAACGGACGAGAAGCUUGCUUCUCUGAUGUUAGCGGCGGACGGGAGUGUAACACGUGGAUACCCUACCUAUAAGACUGGGAUAACUUCGGGAAACCGGCGCUAAUACCGGAAAAUCUUUUGAACCGCAUUGUUCAAAAGUGAAAGACGGUCUUUCUGUCACUUAUAGGUCGAUCCGGGCUGCAUUAGGUGGUUGGUAAGGUAACGGCUUACAAAGGCAACGAUUCAUAGCCGACCUGGGGGGGUGAUCGGCCACACGGGAACUGAGACACGGCCCAGACUCCUACGGGAGGCAGCAGUAGGGAAUCUUCCGCAAAGGGCGAAAGCCUGACGGAGCAACGCCGCGUGAGUGAUGAAGGUCUUCGGAUCGUAAGACUCGGUUAUUAGGGAAGAACAGAUGGGUAAGUAACUGUGCACAUCUUGACGGUACCUAAUCAGAAAGCCACGGCUAACUACGUG
rnacentral:rRNA from 1 species